GCAUCUACCGAUUGAAUGGAGAGGUAAAAUCUCCGGACUAUGACGCGUUGGGGUCAAACCUAAUGCAGUCGUGGGAAGUGGAUUAAACCUUUCCAUUUAGAGGAAGAUGAAGUCGUAACAAGGUUUCUGUAGGUGAACCUGCAGAAGGAUCAUCCGUUUAACACCAUGGGAGUUGACUGCUCCAGAAGUGGCUGAGCCAACCCGCAAGGGAGGCAGGUCCCCAAGGAGUGGUCGGUAACUGGGGUGAAGUCGUAACAAGGUAGCCGUAGGUGAACCUGCAGAAGGAUCA
rnacentral:misc_RNA from 1 species